UACGAAGGGGGCUAGCGUUGCUCGGAAUCAUUGGGCGUAAAGCGCACGUAGGCGGUUCGUUAUGUCGGAUGUGAAAGCCCUUGGCUUAACCGAGGAAGUGCAUCCGAAACUGGCGAGCUAGAGUACGAAAGAGGAUCGCGGAAUUCCCGGUGUAGAGGUGGAAAUUCGUAGAUAGUCGGGAGGAACACCGGGUGGCGAAGGCGGCGAUCUGGGUCGAUACUGACGCGUGAGGUGCGAAAGCGUGGGGAGCAAACAGG
rnacentral:rRNA from 1 species